rnacentral:rRNA from 3 species
UGGCGGACGGGUGAGUAAUGUCUGGGAAACUGCCUGAUGGAGGGGGAUAACUACUGGAAACGGUAGCUAAUACCGCAUAACGUCGCAAGACCAAAGAGGGGGACCUUCGGGCCUCUUGCCAUCGGAUGUGCCCAGAUGGGAUUAGCUAGUAGGUGGGGUAACGGCUCACCUAGGCGACGAUCCCUAGCUGGUCUGAGAGGAUGACCAGCCACACUGGAACUGAGACACGGUCCAG